rnacentral:rRNA from 1 species
AGCGAACGCUAGCGGGUGGCUUAACACAUGCAAGUCGAGCGGGGUCUUCGGGCCCAGCGGCGAACGGGUGAGUAACACGUAGGAUAUCUGCCUUUUGGUGGGGCAUAGCCGGGGGGAAACCCCGAUUAAUACCGCAUAUGGCCUAUGGGUCAAAGCCUUCGGGCGCCAAGAGAGGAGCCUGCGGCCCAUUAUUUAAUCCUAGUUGGUGGGGUAAUGGCCUACCAAGGGUACGAUGGGUAGCUGGUCUGAGAGGACGAUCAGCCACACUGGAACUGAGACACGGUCCAGACUCCUACGGGAGGCAGCAGUGGGGAAUAUUGCGCAAUGGGCGGAAGCCUGACGCAGCCAACCCGCGUGUGUGAUGAAGGCC